CUGGGCAACAGGCGUCCUUAGCACUACCACCAAUCCCAAUAUGCACUAAACCACCUAACACAUCAACACAUGCUCCUAGCUUUAGAGCAUCAAUAGGGCAAGUCUCUUGCUUUGGGGGUGGAGGUGGGCAUGGCACUGGAGGUGGCGGAGGAGGGCAUGGUGUUUCAGUUGGCGGUGGCUUCACAACAGGAGGCUUUGGUGGUAGAGUUGGCGGUGCUGGUGUUACCGGCGGCGUAGGAUAAUACGGUGGUGUAGGGGUAACAGGAGGCUUUGGUGGUAGAGUCGGAGGCUUGAUCACCGGUGGUUUUGGUGUCGGUGUUACCGGAGGGGUAGGAUAAGGCGGCGGAGUUGGGGUAACAGGAGGCUUUGGUGGUAAAGUUGGUGGGGAAAUGAUUGGUGGUUUGGGUACAUAAGGUGGUGGCUUUACAGUAGGAGGCUUUGGUGGUAAAGUUGGUGGGGAAAUGAUUGGUGGUUUGGGUACAUAAGGUGGUGGCUUUACAGUAGGAGGUUUUGGUAUAUGGGGUGGAUAUACAAUUGGAGGCUUGACAACCGGUGGUUUGGGUACGGUUGGUGGUUUGACAACGGGUGGUUUGGGUACAUAAGGUGGCGGCUUUACAGUAGGAGGUUUUGGUACAUGGGGUGGAUAUACAAUUGGAGGCUUGACAACCGGUGGUUUUGGUACGGUUGGUGGUUUGACAACGGGUGGUUUGGGAACCACCGGAGGUUUGGGUGGCUUAGGUGGGUAGUGUUUGGGAGGUUUAUGGUGAGAGGGUGGCUUUACCUUAGGAGGGUGUUUGGGUGGGAACUUAGGAGGAUGCUUCGGUGAAGGUGGAGUUGGGUAAGGACAGUAAGGGCAAGCAAGAGAAGGGAUCAAAGAGCCUAAGUUGAGAAGGAGAAACAAGAG
rnacentral:lncRNA from 1 species